rnacentral:rRNA from 1 species
ACAUGCUUACAACAUAGCGUUAAUGCACUGGAUCCCAUUAGAACUCUGCAGUUAAACGCACUCAUGCUAGAGUAGUAUUGUGAUGGGUGACCGCCCAAGAAGUCCUAAUGUUUUAUAUGCU